GACGAACGCUGGCGGCGUGCUUAACACAUGCAAGUGGAACGACGAACCAGGGCUUGCCCUGGGGGCAGAGCCGCGAACGGGUGAGUAACACGUGGGUAACCUACCCCGAUGAUUGGGACAACCCGAGGAAACUCGGGCUAAUACCGAAUGUGCUCACGCGCCAUCAGGCGCGUGUGGAAAGGAAGCUUCGGCCUCCGCAUCGGGAUGGGCCCGCGGCCCAUUAGCUUGUUGGUGAGGUAACGGCUCACCAAGGCUGCGAUGGGUAGCUGGUCUGAGAGGACUAUCAGCCACACUGGGACUGAGACACGGCCCAGACUCCUACGGGAGGCAGCAGUGGGGAAUCUUGCGCAAUGCGCGAAAGCGUGACGCAGCAACGCCGCGUGGGGGAAGACGG
rnacentral:rRNA from 1 species